ensembl:lncRNA
GCCUCAGUGCCCUUCAGUCACUGGCCUCACUUAUCUCCUCUGUCUCUCACCUUUUAUCUCCUUUAUCUCCAUUCCAGCCAUACUGGCUUCUUUGCUGUCUCUUGAAAACAUCAGGGGCUUUCCUGAUAGCUCAGUUGGUAAAGAAUCUGCCUGCAAUGCCUGAGACCCUGGUUCGAUUCCUGGAUAAGGAAGAUCCCCUGGAGAAGAGAUUGGCUAUCCAUUCCAGUAUUCUUGGGCUUCCCCUGUGGCUCAGCUGGUGAUACAGAAAGGUUAGAGGGGACUGGAAAUGGCUAAUAGCCCCUCCCCCAUGUUCGGAAGCGCUUGAGUAAGAGCAGCGCACCUGAUGUUCUCCUGACAUCAACGGAGUACUCCAAGAAUGGCUCUUAUAUCAGGACAGAGAAGUAUUUCUAAGCUAUGGUGGACCUUGGUUUGAUCAUUCAUUGGAACUUGAUAACUUGCCAAAACAGGAGUCUGGAAGUAACCAGCUGCUGAUGGUAUUGGGUCAGCAGCUCAACGAUAUCACAUUUGCCAGAGGACUGCCCAAGCUUCAGCCACCCCAUCCUUGUUCAAGGCAGGAAAAAUGAGGUGACGAAUAUGUGUGCCCUCUGUACUUGAAUUAAGAAAAUAUGAUUCUUCCUAGAAAUGCCCGUCUCCUCCAGCAGAUGCUUGCUGGCAAGACUGUGUCCCAUUACUACCCCUAUGUGCCUGUGAUUCAGGAAAAGGACAAUGGGAUGGGGAGUGCUUGCCGAGUUGGAUGAUUAACAGUCCAGAGUCGUUUGUCUAUUUAUCUAUUAGAAUGCUUGUCUGUUACUGAUUUGGCGUUUCUUUGUAUAGUAACAAUAUACAACCCCCCCUUUUUAUUGUAUAUGUCAUAUUUGUUUGGCAAAUAAAUUUUUCCAG